UCGUCAUGUCAUUCAGUCUCAUGAUACCAAAAUCUUUUUUGCUCUUUUACAGGGAUUUCCAGACAACCCUACAAGUAGAAAGUGCUGGCGUUCAGUCUGGAUAUUCAAAAUUCCAUGAUAUAGCAUGUCAGAAAGUAAACAUAGUAGACAUUAUAUGCGUGGCCGUCGCUUUCACUGUGAUGGUGAUGCUCGUAGCUCAGAUUUGCAAAAUGGUGACUGGAGGAGGGGCGACAAACGGUCGGCCCGAGGCGCGCCCCGGCAGAGGCGCGGAACGACGCUCUGGAGCCCGGCCCGAGAGGCGCCCGCGACGCGCGUCCCGCUGAACCCUACCCAGUUGAGGCAGAAAUACCUUUCUGCUGCCGACUUAUCUCGCGCAUCAUUGACAGGCAUGCCCUGUUCGGAAGAAUGUUUUACAGAAGAUUUAGAACGCCUUGAUUCCUCUUUGAGCUUUCAGUCUGGAUUUUCAAAAUUCACUGAUAUUGGAUGUGAGGAAGUAGACAUAUUGGACAUAUUCUGUGUAGCCAUUGCUUUUACCGUAGUGCUGGUGGUCCUAGCUCGUCUUUGUAAGAUAGUGACUGGAAGAGGGGCGUCGAGCGCAAGCAGCCGCCCGGAGAGACGUGACUCGAGGCGAACUACAUAUUAGGUUUUGAAAGAUGAGUGCGAAACUUCAAACUGGCAUGUCAAGAAUCUCUGGCAUUGCAUGCCAGGACGUGAACAUCGUGGAUAUAUUAUGUAUCGCCAUGGCUUUCACCGUGCUGGUGAUGCUGGUGGCUCAGCUCGGCAGGAUGCUGACAUCGUGCUGGGAGCAGGAGGUCGAGGCGCUGCCCGAGAGCCAACCCGAGAGGAGCGUCGUGAGACGUCCAGAGAGGCGCCCCGAGCGGCGUCCCAGAUGCCCUUCAAGAUGUCCCAAAUCUUAAAUGUUUAUUACUGAAAUGGCAUUUCUCGAGAGACAUAUUAUUUAAACACGAGUGCAAGCGUCAAAUACGAAUAAAGGAUGACGGGCCGGAGGCGAAUAUGGAACAUACAGCCACUAGAAGACACGCGAGCACUAUCGCAGAAGCACUACCUAAUCGUUUUGAUUGGACUCGCAAUCAUAUUUAUGUUUCAGCAAGACGAUUGCAUCGAAUUUUAUAAAAAAUAACUUAUUUUCAUGUACAAUAUCAAUGUUAUUAAUUUAUA